UUUCCGUAGGUGAACCUGCGGAAGGAUCAUUCAUAAUAAAGUGUUUUAUGGCACUUUUUAAAAAUCCGUAACCACCUUGUGUGCAAUGUUAGAUCUCGUCAAUCUUGGCGAGAUUUUUAUACAUCAACUCAUUUUUUAACUAAUUUGUCUGAAAAAUAUUAUGAAUACUUAAUUCAAAAUACAACUUUCAACAACGGAUCUCUUGGCUCUC
rnacentral:misc_RNA from 1 species